rnacentral:misc_RNA from 1 species
ACUACCCGUCAGCGGGGGUCUUUCACUUGGGUGGUGUGAAAAGUGGGCACCCUUCCAAGGCCAGACAUCAGAACACCCUAGAAGGCGUGGCUGAAAGGAUG